AUGAUAUGAUGUAUGUGUGCUCUGUGUGUACCCUUCUUCUGUCUUUCCUUCCAUGUGUCACAAUGAUUUGCUGGUGUAGGGACAGAUUUGGUGGGGAAUGUGUUUGUGUCAUCUAUGGGAAAGCUGGAUUUUAAAUGAUUCUUAUGGCCAAAGCUGCCUGGUGGCUUAUGUGCUUUUUUUCACCUCCACUAGGUGCGAGUGGAACUGUUAUACAACCCAGCCUUCUGCAGUGCUUCCACAGAAGGACAAAGAUACCGAGUGCAGGUCCCAGUUAGAGCCCUGUCCUCCUGGGCAGUACCGUUUGUGAUAGUCCCAUUACAGCAAGGAUUACAUGAUAUUGAGGUCAAAGCGAGUGUCCGGGGAGAGUUGGCGUCCGAUGGUGUGAGGAAGAAGCUGAAAGUUGUACCUGAAGGGGAACGGAAAAAUAUUGUGACUGUUAUUGAACUGGACCCAAGCGUAAAAGGAGUUGAUGGAACCCAGGAACAAACGGUCAUAGCCAAUAAAUUAGAUGACAAGGUGCCUGAAACAGAAAUUGAGACCAAGAUUUCUGUUCUAGGUGACCCUGUGGCUCAGAUUAUUGAAAA